ensembl:snoRNA Small nucleolar RNA SNORA65
CCCGCCACUAUGCUCUUCUGCAGUGACUGAGUAUAUUCCAGUGGAGGCUCAGAGGAACCCAGCUUUAGGAAACAGGGCUGUUCAAACCAAUGGACUGCUCUGUGCCGAAAAGACUGGAACAGGC